GGCCAUAUCACGUUGAAAUACCGGUUCGCACCCGAUCACUGAAGUUAAGCAACGUUGGACCUGGUGAGUACCUAGAUAGGUGACCGCUUGGGAAUACCAGUUGCUGUAA